GGAGUUUAUUUGGUUGUCGCUGCUAACGAUGAUUUGGGUAUUUAUUUUAUCCGAGCUCCU
rnacentral:tRNA from 1 species